rnacentral:lncRNA from 1 species
UAUCGUAUGACGAUUAAUUCAUGAUGACGAGUCUGAUUAUCCAUUCUUACAAAAAUCAUGACGACAAAGCGAGGCAUUUGUCCGAGAGGAAUAUGACUACACAUUUUUUUUUCUUUUUGUUAAAUCUUAUUUUUAUUUGUUUAUUUUGUUUUUUUAAUGAUUAAUAUGUAACUGGGAUGAUGAUGAAUUGAUUUUGACAAUGUCUUCUGAAGCAUUAAUAAUGCUAAGUGAUUGAAGAAUUAUCCUCCUACUCAUUCUGA